rnacentral:tRNA from 1 species
GGGUCGUUAGCUCAGUCGGUAGAGCAGUUGGCUUUUAACCAAUUGGUCGAGUGUUCGAGUCACUCACGACCCACCA